CCUACGGGAGACAGCAGUGAGGAAUAUUGGUCAAUGGUCGGGAGCCUGAACCAGCCAAGUCGCGUGAGGGAGGAAGGUACAGAGUAUCGUAAACCUCUUUUGUCAGGGAACAAAGGCGGGGACGUGUCCCCGGCUGAGUGUACCUGAAGAAAAAGCAUCGGCUAACUCCGUGACAGCAGCCGCGGUAAUACGGAGGAUGCGAGCGGUAAUCGGAUUUAUUGGGUUUAAAGGGUGCGCAGGCGGUCUGUUAAGUCAGCGGUCAAAGCCCGGGGCUCAACCCCGGCCCGCCGUUGAAACUGGCAGUCUCGAGUGGGAGAGAAGUAUGCGGAAUGCGCGGUGUAGCGGUGAAAUGCAUAGAUAUCGCGCAGAACUCCGAUUGCGAAGGCAGCAUUCCGGCUCCACACUGACGCUGAGGCACGAAAGCGUGGGUAUCGAACAGGAUUAGAUACCCCGGUAGUC
rnacentral:rRNA from 1 species